rnacentral:misc_RNA from 1 species
GAGGAGUCUAACAUUCCCGCGAGUUCAACAUUUAGAUGCUCAGCGUGCGAAGGCGAAAAGAAUUUCACUACUAGCAGAGCGCGUAUGUUAGGACCCGAAAGAUGGCGAACUAUUUCUGAUCAGGGCGAAGUCAGUGGAAACUUUGAUGGAAGGUCGCAGCGGUUCUGACGUGCAAAUCGAUCGUGUAAAGUAGGUAUAGGGGCGAAAGACCAAUCGAACCAUCUAGUAGCUGGUUCUCUC